ACAUGUUAAUUAUUAGGUUGGUACAAAAGUAAUUGUGGAUUCUGCCAUUUAAAAGUAAUGGCAAGAACCAUAAUUACUUUUGCACUGGCCUAAUA
rnacentral:miRNA from 10 species